rnacentral:misc_RNA from 1 species
UAUUUAUGUAUUUCAUGAUUGAACAUGUUAGAAUAUUUGUUUAUUACAUUGUUAAAUCUCCUUCUCUCAUUUGUAAUUUUCGAUGCAAAGAGAGAUUUUGAUUUAUGUGUCUUUUGUAGAGGAAAAGAUAGGGAGAGGGAGAGAAUUUUUUAUUAAUAAUUUUUUUAUCAGCAUUGGAGUGAGCCACGGAAUCAAUCGUUAGUAUCGAGUUGUAGAAAUAAUUCCGAUGCUCAUCUCCUUCAGCACAACAAAAUACCCAUCUCAUUCCCAGUAUAUGUUUGAGAAUAGCAUUUGCUAUUGAAUCCAUACUCAAAGCUUGUAAAUCAAAUUGUGUUGAUCUUAGUCCCAAGCUUCAGAUGGUUUCUUGACCUGCAUAUUUAAAUGGGUAGCUUGGAACUCAUAUCAAGAUCUUUACCAUUUGCUACUCCAAGCAUUUAAUGAGUUGAAGAGGCUCUCAAGAAAUGCAUUUGAAGCACUGAGGAGGGAGGCCAAUUUGAGGUGGGGAAACAGGAACUGAAUCAUCAAUCUUCUUCAUCUGUUAAAUAUUGUUUAGUCUUAAUUAUUGCUUAUUCAUUAAUAUUAUGUAAAUGACCUUGUUCAUAUUCCUUGCUGCUACUUUAUUGCUUAUUGCUACUCUGACCAAAUUGGUUUUUAAUUUCUUUGUAUUUCUUGCCCAGCACUGUCCAUGGAUUCAACAAAGUUAAGCUUCUUGUUGUAACUUAAAGCUUGCUUGCUAUCAGUUCAGAUAUCUUGGGUCUUCGAUUGUACCAGGGUAAUUAGCAAAGCUGCUGGUUCAUAGUUAUUUUCUCUUGAAUCUUAGGUUUGGAUCUAUUCAGAAUCAUAGUUGUGUUGUGCAGUAGUUUUUUUGGGUCUUUGGUUAUGCAGCUUGAGUGGGAGCUUCUGCUACUAUUUAUAUUUUGGUUUGGUUUGGUUAUUUUUUUUUAUUAUUUUUUUUAAUUCAAUGGAGUUGGCAGUAAUUGAUGGAUUAUAUAACAUGGG